AUUGAACGCUGGCGGCAUGCUUUACACAUGCAAGUCGAACGGUAACAGGCCUUCGGGUGCUGACGAGUGGCGAACGGGUGAGUAAUGCAUCGGAACGUACCCAGAGGUGGGGGAUAACGCAGCGAAAGCUGUGCUAAUACCGCAUGUGAUCUGAGGAUGAAAGCGGGGGACCGAGCAGCAAUGUUUGGCCUCGCGCCUUUGGAGCGGCCGAUGUCGGAUUAGCUAGUUGGUGGGGUAAAGGCCUACCAAGGCGACGAUCCGUAGCUGGUCUGAGAGGACGACCAGCCACACUGGGACUGAGACACGGCCCAGACUCCUACGGGAGGCAGCAGUGGGGAAUUUUGGACCAUGGGCGCAAGCCUGAUCCAGCAAUGCCGCGUGCGGGAAGAAGGCCUUCGGGUUGUAAACCGCUUUUGGCAGGAACGAAACGGUGUCCGCUAAUACCGGGCGCUAAUGACGGUACCUGCAGAAUAAGCACCGGCUAACUACGUG
rnacentral:rRNA from 1 species